rnacentral:lncRNA from 1 species
ACUCCUCCAGCUCCCCACCUCCCGCUCAAGCCGCCUGGUCUCCGUGCGCCCCGCCCGCCCCUAGCCUGGACCCCUUCUCCCCGACCCUACCAAUCCCCUAGGGUCCGGCUCGCCCUUCGGCCCCUGUUCCCAGGCCGGCCUCCAGACCUUGUCCUCAUCGGGCGAGCUCCAGGUGCAGAAACCGGGCGCCCAGAGACCCAGCGGGAACAGGCUUGGAACCAGGUCCGAGGUCUGGGCUUGGGCGGGCGCCUGUCGCCCUGACAGCGAGGGUUUGUUUGGGCCGAUUCUUAAUAGGAGGAUUAAUACUAUCAUUAUCGUUGUCCAGAUCCUGACCAUUUCUUUUGUAACUGGCCGAGCACCGGCUUGGGCUUGCAGGUGGGCGCCUGGCGCCGGACAGCGUUUUUGUUUGGGCUUCUUCCUUUUCCGCGCGGGUCCCCUCCGGCGCCUGCCUGGUCCCUCUCCGCGCUCUACCCCCAGGCACGCAGAGACUUGGGCUCCAGGCGGGGGCAGCACUCUCCCCCAGCCUCUGCUGGUGCACCAGAGCCCACUCCGGCACAGAGCAGCGCCCCUCCUAGACCGGCAGCCAGCAGAUCUCAGCCGACCCCCAUGCGACCCCCUUCCUCACGCGGAUUUGCCCCUUUUGUGUGGCAAAAAUAAUAAUAAUAAUAAUAAAUCCAUAUGAAGGCUUCAAACAGAAUUCCGAGAGAAGGAACUGCCAAAUUUUCAAUCAAUGCCAAAGGCCAUGAUUGAGCGAACACAGAAACAACUGUAGAAGCUUGGGGAGAAAGGAGAAAAUUAAAGAAAAAGGAGGAGGAGGAAAAGGAGAGAGGAGAGAAGCGGGAGGAAGAAGACGAAAAAGCAAGGAGAGGCCUGUUAUCCGACCGUGCAUUCCUGGGCCGGCAGGAUUGGGCCGCAGGGGCCGCUGCAGAGAGUUGAGUUUGUGCAAAGGCCGCUCGUUACUUUCUGUCUUUUGCCCUCUUGCCUCCAGAGGAUCAGCCCAGCGCAUCCUUCUCUUGGAGCAGGGUGCAUACGCUUAUUUGGGGUGCAGUUUGAGCGGUGAAGGGCACCAAGAGUGGAAGUCGGCGGCACUCCUGUUCCCUGCAGAGAAACGCAAGCCCUCAGCAAUUGAGCUGAAGGAGGCAAGUGACUCUGCCUGCUGAGGCUGCCAGCCCUAGAGGCUCUGGCCCCCGGGAGCUGGGGUACUUCCCAGCGUUUUCGCCUAAGCCACUUCGCCUGUGCUACUGUGGAGUCUUCCGGCACUGUAGCCUUCCAACUUGUUCAAAGUGCCUGGUGCACGGCUCUGAGAAGCCACUUCUGUCCCAAGUUUCAUGUGGGCCUGAAUGUGCUUCCCUUUGUUGGACUCCUACAGCAUCAAGUCAAGAAAAGAAGGAAACAUGCUCCUUUGGCAUUGGUCACAACCAGGAUAACAAUACAGCAUACUGUGGCCACUGUGUCUAUAUUACCAAAGUGGUCAGUAGGUUCAUCACACCUCUGUUCAAUUAGUUGCUUCCCGUGAUGAAAAAUUUACUGCUAGGAUACUGGCUGAGGGUUGUUUUAAGGGGCACCCAAGUCUCCGUUCCUAGAGAAAGUCAGUUACCCUGAUAUAACAGAGCAACCUUGAGGCGUGGUGAUGCCUCCAAAACUAGUCUGCGGAAUCGGAGCCCAGAAGCCCUGAGGAGUAAUGUGGCUCUCAUGCUUUAUGGCAGGUUUCCCUAAGAGAGACCCAGGAUCUGACCCAUGGCAUCACUGAAAUUCCUCUUUCAGUGAGGCUCCGUUUGCCUAAAGAUCCCUGUCCUCAGUGGGUCUCCCCACACACGGGCCUCUCACUCACCCACUGCCCCACCCCCAUCUGCUGCCCUCUUCCUGGGCCUUAAAGCUCAGACACUAGACUCUGACAAGGAGCCCUCCAUGCCCCGGUAGAGACCAUCUUCUCUCACCACUCCUUUUGAGAGAAACAGCCCUCCCUACAAUUCUGUUGAAUAAGUCUCCUCCUCUGCAUCCUGUUUCACAAGUGAAAGCAGUUUAACAGAAGAAUGCCAGCUCAUAAACGUAGAAAUGCGAGAAUGAGGAAAUCCCCAUUCUGUAACCCUUAAUGAAAUAAUUAAAUCAGGCAGUGUGCACUAGUGGGUGUCAAACCCUUAGGUGAAAGUGUGCAGGCGAACGGGUGCUAAUUGGAAAAAAAAAAGAAAAAGGUUUUCCAUUUUCCAUUUUUUUAUGGAGACAUCUGGCUGUACCUUACAGGAAGAUCAAACUCAGUGUCACUAAUACUGGCUCAACCUGGCAUUAUGUGAUGCAAAAGAAACACACAACAUCAUUGUUGCUGUGUGCUUGCCAAAGAUGCUUCAAUUGAAUCAAUUGCAAAGCCUCUAGACUUUACUGCAAGUUUACAGGAAAUGGAAGAGUUUGAGCCAUGAGUUAAAUGACACCAUGGGAAAAACUGGACUACCAGAGUGUGGGCAUUCUGCAGUCCUGAGCUCUUCCAAAAAAAAUCAAUGUCAAGAAAAAGGGGUGAAGGAUUCUUCUGGUAUAAGAACAGCUGAAAAGAAGAAGUAUAACAAUAAGUACAAAUCCGGAUUGACUCCCAGCUGGACAAAUCAGCACACACACACGCACACAAAAACAUUUUGGAGGAAAUUACAAAUUGGAGGGGAUAUUGACUGAUAGUAUAGAAUUAUUGUUAAUGUUUUUAGGUGUGAUAAUGGCAUAAUGUUUGUUUAGGAGAAUGGCUUUAAUUUUAGGAGGUGCUGCUGAAGUAUUAAAGGGUAAAAUGUCUUCAUGUCUAAAACUUAUUUUAAAUUGUUCAGCACAGUACGUGCACAUAAGCUGAUAUGACAAAAGGUUGGUGAUUAUUGGUUCUACGUGGUGGAUUUAGGGAAGGGGUUGUACAAUCUGUUCUCCUUCUUUGUAUCUUUGAACUUUUUCCAUAAUAAAAAGUUGGAGAAAAAUAAAAUGGCAGGUACUAAACAACUAAAAAAUUUCUCUACCUUUGCGCUUAGACUUUAAAUCAAAUCUAGGCUUAUGGGAAUAAAAUUGAAAGAUACUAUGAGUUAUAUCUGUAUACUUUUGAAAAUCAUGUGGCCCCAAACUUAAAUAUGAUUUGAAUAAAUGUAUUAUAUAUCAC